AAGUUUGAUUAUGGCUCAGGAUGAACGCUGGCGGCGUGCUUAACACAUGCAAGUCGAACGAAGCAUAUCGGACGAAUUUCUUCGGAUUGACGGAAGAUAUGACUGAGUGGCGGACGGGUGAGUAACGCGUGGGUAACCUGCCUUACACAGGGGGACAACAGAGGGAAACUUCUGCUAAUACCGCAUAAGCCGGUAAUGCCGCAUGGCACAGCCGGAAAAGAUUUAUCGGUGUAAGAUGGACCCGCGUCUGAUUAGCCAGUUGGCGGGGUAACGGCCCACCAAAGCGACGAUCAGUAGCCGAACUGAGAGGUUGACCGGCCACAUUGGGACUGAGACACGGCCCAGACUCCUACGGGAGGCAGCAGUGGGGAAUAUUGCACAAUGGGGGGAACCCUGAUGCAAGCAACGCCGCGUGAGUGAGGAAGUAUUUCGGUAUGUAAAGCUCUAUCAGCAGGGAAGAAAAUGACGGUACCUGCAUAAGAAGCCCCGGCUAACUACGUGCCAGCCGCAGC
rnacentral:rRNA from 1 species